rnacentral:rRNA from 1 species
CUGGCUCAGGAUGAACGCUAGCGGCAGGCUUAACACAUGCAAGCGAGGGGCAUCGGGAGUAGCAAUACGUGCCGGCGACCGGCGCAAGGGUGCGUAACGCGUGAGCAACAUGCCCGUAUCAGGGGGAUAAUCCAUGGAAACCGUGGUCUAAUACCCCAUAGUAAUUAUGUAAGGCAUCUUAUAUAAUUUAAAGCUUUGGUGGAUACGGAUUGGCUCGCGUGACAUUAGCUGGAUGGUAAGGUAACGGCUUACCAUGGCUACGAUGUCUAGGGGUUCUGAGAGGAAGGUCCCCCACACUGGAACUGAGACACGGUCCAGACUCCUACGGGAGGCAGCAGUGAGGAAUAUUGGACAAUGGAUGGAAAUCUGAUCCAGCCAUGCCGCGUGCCAGGAAGACGGCCCUAUGGGUUGUAAACUGCUUUUGUAUGGGAGCAAUAAGGGCUACGUGUAGUCCGAUGAGAGUACCAUACGAAUAAGCACCGGCUAACUCCGUGCCAGCAGCCGC